AAAUGUGACCACCCUGUUUUCUAAACUUGUAUUCACAAGCAAAACUGAAGUCACAGCAUGGACAAACUGGUGAAUGCUCAUGGCCUGGAGACUUAGGAUUUGAAAGUAGCUGCUGAUGCUCAGUGACAGUCAGUGAGAGACAAAUGCGAGAGAGAAGGAUUUAAGGCACAUUUAGCAGCAAUGUUGGGAGAGGGGAGACUCAUAGACUUCAUUUGAGCUCUAGAAGUCAAAGAGAACUGUAUUUUUUUUUCAAAAACACGAUAUAGUACAUUCUGGAAUGCCAGCCAACCCCGGGGUGAUGACUGCCACACAGAGCUCCCGGUACUGCUGUACGUACAUGUAGAUUGUUGUUGGAAGUAGCUGAGGUUGGAGGUCAUUGACCCUUACCUCUGGAUUUGUUUAUCGUUGCUUAGUUACGAGAAAAAAAACAUAAUCGGUGUUGUAAACCGGCUUCCUGCCUCUGUGCAGGGUUGAUGAAUAUCAAUGUGUACAUUCCAUAUUUGCAUAAACAUGAUCGGGCUGAAAUAAUUGAAAAAUGCCGAUUCAAACCAGUCGGCGAAAUUCUCACCCAGCUUGGCCGUAUCGCCUAGUGUGUGGAGUAGAUCACCGUAAGUAGUGUAGCUCGGAAUCCGAAAUUUCCGGUGGCCACGCCAUCCACUGCACACUUGCUCAUCAUCACCUCGAUACGUAUUGGCAUAACAAACCUCGUGAUUGUCCCAGUUAUCACCGAGAGUUGUAGUGCUUGGGGUAAUGAGAAGGGUCCAGAACUGUUCUUCAUUCGGUUAUUAACAUGAAGACAUACCCCACCGAAAUCCCCAUAGUUCCGGGGGAAGUCACCACAAACACGGGGUCCGGAAUGGCUGAGCAGACACU